CUGAAUACCACUAUGGGAGCAUUAGAACACCUACACUGCAAUAAAAGAAUCAACUGUGUGAUGUGUAUGCAAGUAACCAGAACUGACAGGACAUGUGACCUAGGACUACUGACCUCCUGCCUGGGCAAAGCAGAGAACACAUGCAACACAACCUAAACUUUUCUGGAGUACUUAACAGUUUUCUGACGAUCAGUUAAUAUACUCCUCAGAAGCUACUGCAGUAGGAACAGCUGUUUGAAACACAAAUGGUUCAGAUCAUAAAGUAAAAGAGCAGGAAUAUGUGCUUAAAUAAAAAGGAAAUUCUCGAAGAAUGCGGUAAAAAGUGCAAGGAAAGACACAAGCUGAAUGCCAUCAAAACAGACACAUACACGUGGA